rfam:Myotis brandtii contig246151, whole genome shotgun sequence.
GGUGGUUCUUGGGUGACACGCCCUGGGAUCAGGCUCCCUCCUCUCUGGUUGUGGGGUGCAUCACAGUAGAACCGUU